CGUGUCAGUGUCUCCAGACAUGGUCAACUGUGCUCUCUGUUUGCUCGAGGCCACGUUCUCAUGGACAGAGAUCUGGUUUUAAGUCAAGUGCUUAGAAAUAAAACCGGCCACGCACCUCAACCUCAAAGUAACCAGGAGCCCCCUUGAUUGCCCUCCCAGCCUGAGUCCUUGUGAGUGCUCAGGCACUAGCACCUUGCAAGGGUCGCAGCCAUUUUGACCUUAUGCUCACACAAGGGUGCUUGCAGAAAGAAUGGCAGCAGGAAAGAGGUCAUGAGCAAGGUCACUAGGGAGGAAGGGCAUUAAGUGAAUAAAAGUUGGCCCAUCCCUCCCAAGACCUUAACUGCUGGCUAAGGUCAUUAUUAGGCAUUUGCUUGGCAGAGCAUCUCAGACCCUGGCUUCAAUCUUUGUCCAUGCUUUGUGGUCAUAACUGACUCGUAGCCUAAACUUGGCUUCAGCUCUGCUUCUAGAAAACACUUCCUACACCCCAAACCCUACCCUGACCACACAGACACACACACACACUCACAAAGACACACACACACACACACACACACACACACACACAGUAGCUCAGCCCACCAGGAAAAAGUAUAUGGAACCUUAUAACUUUCCCCAGAACCCCACUUAAAUCUAAAUUUGGUCCCAGGUCCAAACCCCGACCCCCACACUGUCAGCCUAUUGAUGGCUGUCUGCUAUAUUCAGGGAAACUGAGGAAAAGGAGCAAGAGUCUACAUGCUGGAGACCCUCUACCACACGUGGCUGAGCUAGAAGUAACUUGGCUAAGCAAGCCGGCAGGAAGCACCAGCGAUGAUGCUUUCCUGCUACCUACUCCACACAGGUCGGAUGCAGAGGCCAUGUCUCCAGCAGCCUAUCAGUCUGCCAUGCUCCCUGCCGUGAUGACAAUGACAUAAACUUCUAAAGCCGUGCACCUCUCCGCACCCCUGGGCCCUUCGUGCAGAUGCUCACUGAUUCCCUGUCAAACAAAGAACAGGACCCACAUCCCUGUCCAGACCCUGAAAGGGUGUGACCAGGAGACACCGGUGGGCUCUUCAUUCAUCACCACCACCACCAUCACCAUCACCAUCACCGCCGCCGCCGCCGCCACCGCCACCACCACCACCACCACCACCACCACCACCACCACCACCAUCACCAUCAUCGUCAGAGUGUGGAUCUCUCUUUAGGACAGGGACAUAUGUGGGCUCCUAGCCAAGAGAACUUGGAUUCCUUCUGCAGGAGAAAACUGGCUGCUUCACAGCUGUUGCCUCCUGCUCUGGAGAAGGCUGAGGGUCGAGCUGGCUGCAGGGAUUCAUCUCCCAGGAGGGACAAGAGCCCCAGCUAUAUCCCACCCCGUGAGGAUGGCAACGGGGUCAACUGUGCCCUUUGCUGGCCAUCGCAGGCAGUGGGGGCAGAGCAAAGCCUGGAACAGCGGGGACUGGAAGAAACAAACUUGGAACUUCCACACUGGUGUCAUUUAAGUAACAACCACGUUGCUCAGGAGCUCCGAGGCCUCUCUUAUCUCCCUGGGGUCCAUCCUUGGCUGUACCCAAGUGUAUGAGCACAGCAAGCUCACCACUCACUCACCACAGCACCCACCUGAAGCCUAGCAGACUGCUUCAGCCUGGUCCCCACAGGGCAGGAUGCAUAACCACGCCCCUGAUGGCAUCCCUCCAAACAGCACCAGCUACCUGGCAGGUCCCACCUCUUGGUGCCACUACCAGAGCCUGGACUUGAUUGAUCUCCGUAUGAAUAUUCAUGCAGCAUCCAGCAGUCUGUCAUCAAUAUUCCAGGAAAGGGAAAACUCCUCAUGUAAGGAGUUGGGGGAGGUCAACCUGUAGCUUGUGACUACUGCAUCUACCUAUGGGCUUCCAAGCUUGACAAGAUGUCCACUCUGUCCCCACUCCCACCCCCAUCCCAUUCUCUGACAGAUGACCCCUCAACGUUCCUGCCUACCUUACAGGCCAUGCCCUCCUCACCAAUCCUGUUCUCUCCUUCAGCUUUGGGCCUGCCUCACCCCACCCUGCCCGAAAUAUUUACCUACAGCCACGGUCCCAUCGUAACAAGAUACCAAGGGCUGUGUACCAACUCAGCAAGCUUGUUUACAGGCCCCACGUUCUCAAGUAGCUCACACAGCCUGCCCCUGGUCAGUGGUUUCCACAGACUCCCCUGUCCUGCCCAGGGUCCACAGUUAGAUACACCCCAAGCCUGGAGUAACAUCAACUCUAAGCCAGACCUCCAAGGAAGAGGGUAUCUGCUUCAUUCCCUGCUGUCCCUGUUGCUGUAGGAGCCCCCCAGGCCCCAGGCCCCAGAGGUCGUGGGCUGGCUCAGGGUGGGAUGCAGCUUAGUUAUAACCCGUCCUGGGAGAUGGUCACAGCUGGCCCCACCAGAGAGAGAUGAGAACUCUGCCUCAGACCUUGGCUUCUGGAAGAAUGGUUGUAUCUGGGGGAGUCAGCUGUUUUGGGAUGAGAUUUCCUAGGGCUGACACAGUACCAGAGUCCUCAAAACACAGCUCAGCAGCACCACACUCGGUGCUUCCCCACUGAGUCCACCGGCACCCUCCUAUGGCUGCUCUUCCGCAGGAGACUACCCAAGCAGUGCAGGGGUGGGGAUGGGGUGGAGUAGCGGGCCUGGCAGGGAAGGGUCACCUGGCAGCCUGUGCCCUUCAGUCUGCCACCCCACCCCCAGGCGCAGUGCGGGCCACACAACUCUGCCUGAGGCCCCAUGUGACACAGCUGCCAACAGGCCUGGGCAAGCAGCCUGGCGGGGUGGGGGAGGGGCACUGGGCUCCAGAUCGCUGAAUCAGCUGCUCUGGACCGUCCCUCCCUGGGCUAGGCUGCUGCCUGGGGGGCAGCUCCCUCUUUUGGGAACUGUUGGGGAGGCAAGCCUGAAUGCUGGGAUUUCCGGAAAAUCUCCCUUGCUUGCUUCAGCCUGGGACUGCUGCUUCCUGGGAGCCAGUGUCUCUAGGGGAGGGAAGGCUUCCUAAGAGGGCCAGGCAGAAGGGGACCCUUCUUUCUAAACAAGACCAAAAACGGAGAAGAGAAAGGCACCCUGCUGCUGUGAAUCUAGCACUCCCCCCCCCCCCCGAAAACGCUGAAUCAGCAUGUGAAGGCGCCGGCUCCCUCCCCUCCCCCUCACACGCUGGCAGGGACUGGGCCUUCCCAAGGUCAGGGGACAUCAAUAACCGCAGCUGAGUCUGUGGCUGCACAGGUCUGUGCUCUGGGUUGCCCCUGCCAUCCUCGGGAGUAGGGACCAUCUGGCUCUCUUCCUCACACUACCCUGGGAAGGUCACAGGUACUAUGUUUGUUUGGGUCUUCACCAGGGACUGCAGAAGCUGCUACUUGGUACAGGGGCAGCAAAUGGGUGUUCAGAGCCAUGAGUUCAUCCCAAGCCUGGGGCCCUGCAGCACCUGCCCUUUUCCCCAGGGUUGUAGGUAGCAGUGACCCGGUCCCUGUACCUCACAUGGGCCAGGGAGAACCUGAGUCAUGGCCAGACAGCACUGCUUCAGACUUUCCGUCUGUGCUGCCCACACCUGGCGGCCUGCUCACCUCCACUCCUUCCUUCCUGGUCCUAGCUCCUAACCAUCUUGCCUAGGGAGUAGUGCCAAGUCUUCAUGGGCACAGUCCCCUCUCUUCAGAUGCCCCUUUCUUGUGGUGAUGGUGAGGUGUAGGCCCUUCCUCCAGGAAGACCCAGAACCCAGCUCUGGUCUCUCAAGUUAACAUGUAGCCCCUGACACUGCACCCUAAGCACUCUACUGGGUCCCCUGAGCCAGCUCUGCAAACCUCAGAACAGUGCCAGCCGGCGGCCAGAUUCCUGGUCCUCCUUCCUGCCUCCCUCCCACCCACUGGGUCACAGGCAGCCCCCUGACUACUCUUCUUCGAAGUCAGUUCACAAGGCUAGCCUGAAAGCUGUCUGUUGCCUUUUCUACCUCAUGAACGUCAGGGGCCUAGGGCUCAGCAGCUGACCAGAUGGGCGGCUUUAUCACUGUGGAUCCUGUUUCGUAUCCAGCCACCGAGGCCUUCUGUCCACAGGUACAUCCUGUCUGUGCCAGGUCUGGUCCCCUGCCCUGCCCUUCAGCGGUGAGCUCAGUCCCAUUUUUAUACUCCUAUGUGCUGCCUUAAUAAACAAACAAAAAUGCUUGAAA